GAUGAACGCUGGCGGCGUGCCUAAUACAUGCAAGUCGAGCGAACAGAUGAGGAGCUUGCUCCUCUGACGUUAGCGGCGGACGGGUGAGUAACACGUGGAUAACCUACCUAUAAGACUGGGAUAACUUCGGGAAACCGGAGCUAAUACCGGAUAAUAUAUUGAACCGCAUGGUUCAAUAGUGAAAGACGGUUUUGCUGUCACUUAUAGAUGGAUCCGCGCCGCAUUAGCUAGUUGGUAAGGUAACGGCUUACCAAGGCAACGAUGCGUAGCCGACCUGAGAGGGUGAUCGGCCACACUGGAACUGAGACACGGUCCAGACUCCUACGGGAGGCAGCAGUAGGGAAUCUUCCGCAAUGGGCGAAAGCCUGACGGAGCAACGCCGCGUGAGUGAUGAAGGUCUUCGGAUCGUAAAACUCUGUUAUUAGGGAAGAACAAAUGUGUAAGUAACUAUGCACGUCUUGACGGUACCUGGUCAGAAAGCCACGGCUAACUACGUG
rnacentral:rRNA from 1 species